GCUUGUCUCAAAGAUUAAGCCAUGCAUGUCUAAGUACAAGCCUCAGUAAGGUGAAACCGCGAAUGGCUCAUUAAAUCACACCUAAUCUACUGGAAAGUUACUAGUUACUUGGAUAACUGAGGUAAUUCUUGAGCUAAUACAUGCGAAAAAUCUCGACUCACGGAGAGAUGCUUUUAUUAGAUCAAAACCAAACGGCUUCGGCCGUCUCAUUGGUGACUCUGAAUAACUUUGGGCUGAUCGUAUGGCCUUGCGCCGGCGAUGUUUCAUUCAAAUUUCUGCCCUAUCAAUUUGAUGGUAGGAUAGAGGCCUACCAUGGUGGUAACGGGUGACGGAGAAUUAGGGUUCGAUUCCGGAGAGGGAGCCUGAGAAACGGCUACCACAUCCAAGGAAGGCAGCAGG
rnacentral:rRNA from 1 species